AAGGUUUUCGGAUCGUAAACUCUGUUGUUGGAGAAGAAUGUAUCUGAUAGUAACUGAUCAGGUAGUGACGGUAUCCAACCAGAAAGCCACGGCUAACUACGUGCCAGCAGCCGCGGUAAUACGUAGGUGGCAAGCGUUGUCCGGAUUUAUUGGGCGUAAAGCGAGCGCAGGCGGUUUCUUAAGUCUGAUGUGAAAGCCUUCGGCUCAACCGAAGAAGUGCAUCGGAAACUGGGAAACUUGAGUGCAGAAGAGGACAGUGGAACUCCAUGUGUAGCGGUGAAAUGCGUAGAUAUAUGGAAGAACACCAGUGGCGAAGGCGGCUGUCUGGUCUGUAACUGACGCUGAGGCUCGAAAGCAUGGGUAGCAAACAGGAUUAGAUACCCUGGUAGUCCAUGCCGUAAACGAUGAGUGCUAGGUGUUGGAGGGUUUCCGCCCUUCAGUGCCGCAGCUAACGCAUUAAGCACUCCGCCUGGGGAGUACGACCGCAAGGUUGAAACUCAAAGGAAUUGACGGGGGCCCGCACAAGCGGUGGAGCAUGUGGUUUAAUUCGAAGCAACGCGAAGAACCUUACCAGGUCUUGACAUCCUUUGACCACUCUAGAGAUAGAGCUUUCCCUUCGGGGACAAAGUGACAGGUGGUGCAUGGUUGUCGUCAGCUCGUGUCGUGAGAUGUUGGGUUAAGUCCCGCAACGAGCGCAACCCUUAUUACUAGUUGCCAGCAUUUAGUUGGGCACUCUAGUGAGACUGCCGGUGACAAACCGGAGGAAGGUGGGGACGACGUCAAAUCAUCAUGCCCCUUAUGACCUGGGCUACACACGUGCUACAAUGGAUGGUACAACGAGUUGCGAGACCGCGAGGUUUAGCUAAUCUCUUAAAACCAUUCUCAGUUCGGAUUGUAGGCUGCAACUCGCCUACAUGAAGCCGGAAUCGCUAGUAAUCGCGGAUCAGCAUGCCGCGGUGAAUACGUUCCCGGGCCUUGUACACACCGCCCGUCACACCAUGAGAGUUUGUAACACCCAAAGCCGGUGAGGUAACCCUUCGGGAGCCAGCCGUCUAA
rnacentral:rRNA from 1 species